rnacentral:rRNA from 1 species
AAAUGAAUAGACGGGGGCCUGCACACUCUUCUUCCCCUUUGGUUUCCUUCGAUGAUACGCGAGGAACCUUACCCGGGCUCGAACGGUGCAUGAAUAUACGAGAGAUUGUAUAGUCCUUCGGGACAUGUAUCGAGGUGCUGCAUGGUUGUCGUCAGCUCGUGCCGUGAGGUGUCGGCUUAAGUGCCAUAACGAGCGCAACCCUUGUCAUUAGUUGCCAUCAGGUCAAGCUGGGGACUUUAAUGAGACUGCCACCGUAAGGUGUGAGGAAGGGGGGGAUGACGUCAAAUCAGCACGGCCCUUAUGUCCGGGGCGACACACGUGUUACAAUGGGAGGUACAGAGGGCAGCUAUCCGGUGACGGAAUGCUAAUCUCCAAAACCUUUCUCAGUUCGGAUUGGAGUCUGCAACUCGACUCCAUGAAGGUGGAUUCGCUAGUAAUCGCGCAUCAGCCAUGGCGCGGUGAAUACGUUCCCGGGCCUUGUACACACCGCCCGU